rnacentral:rRNA from 1 species
CAGUAGCCACGGGAAUACGGAGGAUCCAAGCGUUAUCCGGAAUCAUUGGGUUUAAAGGGUCCGUAGGCGGUCUUGUAAGUCAGUGGUGAAAGCCCAUCGCUCAACGGUGGAACGGCCAUUGAUACUGCAGGACUUGAAUUAUUGGGAAGUAACUAGAAUAUGUAGUGUAGCGGUGAAAUGCUUAGAGAUUACAUGGAAUACCAAUUGCGAAGGAAGGUUACUACCAAUUGAUUGACGCUGAUGGACGAAAGCGUGGGUAGCGAACAGGAUUAGAUACCCGCGUAGUCCCUGUCUCUUAUAC